UACGAAGGGGGCUAGCGUUGCUCGGAAUCACUGGGCGUAAGGGGUGCGUAGGCGGGUUUUUAAGUCAGAGGUGAAAUCCUGGAGCUCAACUCCAGAACUGCCUUUGAUACUGAGAAUCUUGAGUAUGGGAGAGGUGAGUGGAACUGCGAGUGUAGAGGUGAAAUUCGUAGAUAUUCGCAAGAACACCAGUGGCGAAGGCGGCUCACUGGCCCAUAACUGACGCUGAGGCACGAAAGCGUGGGGAGCAAACAGG
rnacentral:rRNA from 1 species